GACGAACGCUGGCGGCGUGCUUAACACAUGCAAGUCGAACGGAAAGGCCCUGCUUUUGUGGGGUGCUCGAGUGGCGAACGGGUGAGUAACACGUGAGUAACCUGCCCUUGACUUUGGGAUAACUUCAGGAAACUGGGGCUAAUACCGGAUAGGAGCUCCUGCUGCAUGGUGGGGGUUGGAAAGUUUCGGCGGUUGGGGAUGGACUCGCGGCUUAUCAGCUUGUUGGUGGGGUAGUGGCUUACCAAGGCUUUGACGGGUAGCCGGCCUGAGAGGGUGACCGGGCACAUUGGGACUGAGAUACGGCCCAGGCUCCUACGGGAGGCAGCAGUGGGGAAUAUUGCACAAUGGGCGGAAGCCUGAUGCAGCAACGCCGCGUGCGGGAUGACGGCCUUCGGGUUGUAAACCGCUUUCGCCUGUGACGAAGCGUGAGUGACGGUAAUGGGUAAAGAAGCACCGGCUAACUACGUG
rnacentral:rRNA from 1 species